UUCUUUGUAUUUUUAGUAGAGACAGGGUUUCACCGUGUUAGCCAGGAUGGUCUCGAUCUCCUGAUAUAGAGGUCAAGUUCUUAAAGAAUAUACUGCCAAGAAAACCAGUGUUUUACAAGUGAGAGAGUUAAGUAAAAGCUCAGAAUUAUCUUCACUGAUAAAGGGCAUGGAUUAUCCCUAAAAUAACUUCUUUCCCUUCUUUUUUACAAAAGUAAUAUUUACGUGUUGCUAGUUAAAAAAAUUUAAGUGAGCAAGAAGAGAAUACCCCCCUUACCAUAAUCCCACAGCCUAAUGCAGAAUCAUAGGUAAUACAGGUUUUUCUGUUAAAUCUCCAUAUACUCAUUCUAGAAGAAUGUCUUGUUCUCUAAAAAUAUACUGCGAAAACAGAAGUUUUGGGAACAAGCCACUCAAAACUUACACAGUUCUUAAGAAUCGGAAUACAGUUUUUCAUAGAACAUAUAAAAAUGGCCAAUAGGGCUGGGUGUGGUGGCUCACGCCUGUAAUCCCAGCACUUUGGGAGGCCGAGGCAGGCAGAUCAUGAGGUCAGGAGAUCGAGACCAUCCUGGCCAACACGGUGAAACCCUGUCUCUACUAAAAAUACAAAAAAUUAGCUGGGCAUGGUGGCGGGCGCCUGUAGUCCCAGCUACUUGGAAGGCUAAGGCAGGAGAAUGGCAUGAACCCGGGAGGUGGAGCUUGCAGUGAGCAGAGAUCGCGCCACUGCACUCCAGCCUGGGCAACAGAGUGAGACUCCGUCUCAAAAAAAAAAAAAAAAAAAAAAAAGGCCAAUAGACAUAUAAAAAGAUGCUCUUAUCAUUAGCCAUUAUGGUAAUGUAAAUCAAAAGCACAAUGAUACACCACUUCAUACCCACUAGGAUGGCAGUAGUCAAAAAGGCAAAUACAUAAUAACAAGUGUUGACAAGGAUGUGGAGGAAUUGGAAUCCUCACACAUUGCUGGUGAGAGUGUAAAAUGGUGCAGCCGCUUUGGAAAACUGUUUAGCAGUUCUUGAAAGGUUAAAUGUAAGAGUCAGCAGCAUGGUAACGGCAAUUUUAUUCCUGUCCCAAGAUAAGGGAAAACAUAUGUCCACACAAAAACUUGUACACAGAUGAUCAUAAUAGCAUUAUUCAUAAUAGCUCAAAAUGCAAACAACCCAAAUGUCCAUCACCUGGUGAAUGGGUAAAUUAAAAGUGGUAAAUAUAUGAUGAAAUGUUAUUUGGCAAGGAAAAGCAAUGAAGUACUGACAUGUGCUACAACAUGGUUGAACCGUGAAAACUUUAUGUUAAGUGAAUGAAGCCAGACACAAAGGACUACAUUUUUUUU
rnacentral:lncRNA from 1 species